rnacentral:misc_RNA from 1 species
GAUGAAGAACGCAGCGAAAUGCGAUAAGUAGUGUGAAUUGCAGAAUUCCGUGAAUCAUCGAAUCUUUGAACGCACAUUGCGCCUUCUGGUAUUCCGGAAGGCAUGCCUGUUCGAGAGUCAUUAACAACCGUUUCGAUCCCUUUCUUUCAGAAAUUACAAAGAGGAAAAGGGUUUGGUUAUGGUGGAGGAGGGAAAGGGAGCGUUUAGCCUGUAAAAAAAGAGGCUGUGUUCCGCCUCCCCCUCAAAAUUGUACAGGCGGUCGUGUGCGCCCACGCAUCGAGGUGUUGUAAAAGCUGCCACGGCACUUUUCACCUGUGCAGUGCGAGAUUGGCCAGCCGGUUUAAAAACCCCUCCAAACAAUCAAAGGUUGACCUCGGAUCAGGUAGGGAUACCCGCUGAACUUAAGCAUAUCAAAAGCGGAGGA